GGCUCAGAGUGAACGCUGGCGGUAGGCCUAACACAUGCAAGUCGAACGGCAGCACAGUAAGAGCUUGCUCUUAUGGGUGGCGAGUGGCGGACGGGUGAGGAAUACAUCGGAAUCUACUCUGUCGUGGGGGAUAACGUAGGGAAACUUACGCUAAUACCGCAUACGACCUACGGGUGAAAGCAGGGGAUCUUCGGACCUUGCGCGAUUGAAUGAGCCGAUGUCGGAUUAGCUAGUUGGCGGGGUAAAGGCCCACCAAGGCGACGAUCCGUAGCUGGUCUGAGAGGAUGAUCAGCCACACUGGAACUGAGACACGGUCCAGACUCCUACGGGAGGCAGCAGUGGGGAAUAUUGGACAAUGGGCGCAAGCCUGAUCCAGCCAUACCGCGUGGGUGAAGAAGGCCUUCGGGUUGUAAAGCCCUUUUGUUGGGAAAGAAAUCCAGCCGGUUAAUACCUGGUUGGGAUGACGGUACCCAAAGAAUAAGCACCGGCUAACUUCGUGCCAGCAGCCGCGGUAAUACGAAGGGUGCAAGCGUUACUCGGAAUUACUGGGCGUAAAGCGUGCGUAGGUGGUCGUUUAAGUCCGUUGUGAAAGCCCUGGGCUCAACCUGGGAACUGCAGUGGAUACUGGGCGACUAGAGUGUGGUAGAGGGUAGCGGAAUUCCUGGUGUAGCAGUGAAAUGCGUAGAGAUCAGGAGGAACAUCCAUGGCGAAGGCAGCUACCUGGACCAACACUGACACUGAGGCACGAAAG
rnacentral:rRNA from 1 species